GAUGAACGCUGGCGGCGUGCCUAAUACAUGCAAGUCGAGCGAACAGACGAGGAGCUUGCUCCUCGGACGUUAGCGGCGGACGGGUGAGUAACACGUGGAUAACCUACCUAUAAGACUGGGAUAACUUCGGGAAACCGGAGCUAAUACCGGAUAAUAUAUUGAACCGCAUGGGUCAAUAGUGAAAUACGGUUUUGCUGUCACGUAUAGAUGGAUCCGCGCCGCAUUAGCUAGUUGGUAAGGUAACGGCUUACCAAGGCAACGAUGCGUAGCCGACCUGAGAGGGUGAUCGGCCACACUGGAACUGAGACACGGUCCGGGCUCCUACGGGAGGCAGCAGUAGGGAAUCUUCCGCAAUGGGCGAAAGCCUGACGGAGCAACGCCGCGUGAGUGAUGAAGGUCUUCGGAUCGUAAAACUCUGUUAUUAGGGAAGAACAAAUGUGUAAGUAACUAUGCACGUCUUGACGGUACCUAAUCAGAAAGCCACGGCUAACUACGUG
rnacentral:rRNA from 1 species